UCCUCCCGAUAAAAGUGUUCUUCUUCCCUUGCUGGGCAGGGGCUUGCAAGCGGCUCGCUAUGGAUGCAGGCACUGUGUUGCAAUUCUCUGCCGAUACCAAAUAAACCCGUCUUUGCUGGAGAAAUAUCUGGGAGUCUGUUUGUUUCAGGUCAACAAGAGGUGAAGGAGCAGCGCUUCAUGAGAACAGAAACAGCAGGCUGCAGGUGACGAGCCCUCACUCAGGCUCAGGUGCUGGGCAGGACCCUGAGGCUCAGAGAAGUUAACUUGUUCAAGGGGACACAGGUAUGAAGUAGCAAAGCCUGAAUCUACACCCAACUCAACUCCAGAGCCUGCAUUCCUAACCACUGCAUCCUUUUGGAAAAUGUCAAGUUCAUACUCCAGAGAGGCUCACCGCGGCCAAGGCCAGCGCAGAGAAGGGCGUGUCCUCGGCAGGUUUCACCACUACCGUGCAGCCUGCUGCCAGGGCGGCCCCCACCUUCCUCGUGAUCAUGGCGCUGGGGAAGUUCCACUGGAUCAGAAGAGAAAGGAGUGCCAUGACAGUCCUGGCCUGACCAUGUAGGGACAAAAAACCCAAAGUGGAGGCGGAAACGUGAUAACUACUCAAGAAAGACAAAGAAGGUCUUCCCCCCUCCCCUCUCUUCCUUUGAUUACAAAAAUGUAACCCACUAAGUACUUGGGGCAGCGCACUGCUUGCCUGCCCGCUUGUAGGCCUCGCAAGCAACCUAUUCUAAUAAAUCACUUUAAAAAAAAAAUAAAUUUAU